CCUACGGGGGGCAGCAGUGGGGAAUAUUGGACAAUGGGCGAAAGCCUGAUCCAGCCAUGCCGCGUGUGUGAAGAAGGCCUUCGGGUUGUAAAGCACUUUCAGUGGGGAAGAAAGCCUUGGGGCUAAUACCCUCGAGGAAGGACAUCACCCACAGAAGAAGCACCGGCUAACUCCGUCCCAGCAGCCGCGGUAAUACGGAGGGUGCGAGCGUUAAUCGGAAUUACUGGGCGUAAAGCGCGCGUAGGCGGUCUGAUAAGCCGGUUGUGAAAGCCCCGGGCUCAACCUGGGAACGGCAUCCGGAACUGUCAGGCUAGAGUGCAGGAGAGGAAGGUAGAAUUCCCGGUGUAGCGGUGAAAUGCGUAGAGAUCGGGAGGAAUACCAGUGGCGAAGGCGGCCUUCUGGACUGACACUGACGCUGAGGUGCGAAAGCGUGGGUAGCAAACAGGAUUAGAUACCCUAGUAGUC
rnacentral:rRNA from 1 species